AGAGUUUGAUCCUGGCUCAGAUUGAACGCUGGCGGCAUGCCUUACACAUGCAAGUCGAACGGCAGCACGGGAGCAAUCCUGGUGGCGAGUGGCGAACGGGUGAGUAAUGUAUCGGAACGUACCAUUGAGUGGGGGAUAACGUAGCGAAAGUUACGCUAAUACCGCAUAUACCCUGAGGGGGAAAGCAGGGGAUCGCAAGACCUUGUGCUCUUUGAGCGGCCGAUAUCAGAUUAGCUAGUUGGUGAGGUAAAGGCUCACCAAGGCGACGAUCUGUAGCGGGUCUGAGAGGAUGAUCCGCCACACUGGAACUGAGACACGGUCCAGACUCCUACGGGAGGCAGCAGUGGGGAAUCUUGGACAAUGGGGGCAACCCUGAUCCAGCCAUGCCGCGUGAGUGAAGAAGGCCUUCGGGUUGUAAAGCUCUUUCGGCCGGGAGGAAAUCGCAUCAGUUAAUACCUGGUGUGGAUGACAGUACCGGAAUAAGAAGCACCGGCUAACUACGUGCCAGCAGCCGCGGUAAUA
rnacentral:rRNA from 1 species